UACCCAACAAAGACUUUAAAACGGUUUUAUGGCAUUAAUUUAGAUCAUCAACAUUUCUGUUUAUCAUAGUUGUAACCCAAUGCUUUGAGAUAAACUGAAAAACGACAGACAACAAAGCUAAGGAGAUAUUUUGUUUGGUUUCAAGAUAAGGUACACACUGGGCUUAUUAGGUCAGAUACAGGUCCAUUAAUGAAAUAGUUUUAGUAUUAAACAAGGAUAAUACUGUAUCAGAUUUUACAGAUGGUCAGAAGAAUGUUAGGGCUGAACAGAUAACCUGAGGACCUCCAAUAACAUAAAGCAAUGACAGUGGGAUUUCACAGGUGGGUCACCCUCAUCGCCAGCCUCAUUGCCUUGGUAACAUGGACAUCUUCAGUAAAAGGUGUUUCUGCUGAAUCCAAUACAAAAUGGACGGACAUUUUUAAAACUUUUGCGAACUGGAAUGGAACCUACAAAUAUGGUUUCCGUAGUUUCCCCUUCAGUAUUACAGUGAAUUCAGCCCACUCUGAUACCGGCCUGUACACAACAUUUUCUGACGGUGAUGCAGCAUUUGACAUGUCUGGUCAUUUUUAUGGAAAUGAUGACUCCAAGAUUAGGGUGAUAUUCACUAUGACCAAGCUAUU